rnacentral:rRNA from 1 species
UACGAAGGGGGCUAGCGUUGCUCGGAAUGACUGGGCGUAAAGGGCUCGUAGGCGGCCAACUAAGUCAGACGUGAAAUCCCCAGGCUCAACCUGGGAACUGCGUCUGAUACUGGAUGGCUUGAAUCCAGGAGAGGUGAGUGGAAUUCCGAGUGUAGAGGUGAAAUUCGUAGAUAUUCGGAAGAACACCAGUGGCGAAGGCGGCUCACUGGACUGGUAUUGACGCUGAGGUGCGAAAGCGUGGGGAGCAAACAGG